rnacentral:rRNA from 1 species
CGCUAUCACUCCUAGGGGAGGCAGCAGUAGGGAAUCUUCCACAAUGGGCGCAAGCCUGAUGGAGCAACACCGCGUGAGUGAAGAAGGGUUUCGGCUCGUAAAGCUCUGUUGUUUAAAGAAGAACACGUAUGAGAGUAACUGUUCAUACGUUGACGGUAUUUAACCAGAAAGUCACGGCUAACUACGUGCCAGCAGCCGCGGUAAUACGUAGGUGGCAAGCGUUAUCCGGAUUUAUUGGGCGUAAAGAGAGUGCAGGCGGUUUUCUAAGUCUGAUGUGAAAGCCUUCGGCUUAACCGGAGAAGUGCAUCGGAAACUGGAUAACUUGAGUGCAGAAGAGGGUAGUGGAACUCCAUGUGUAGCGGUGGAAUGCGUAGAUAUAUGGAAGAACACCAGUGGCGAAGGCGGCUACCUGGUCUGCAACUGACGCUGAGACUCGAAAGCAUGGGUAGCGAACAGGAUUAGAUACCCUGGUAG